rnacentral:rRNA from 1 species
GAGUUUGAUCCUGGCUCAGAUUGAACGCUGGCGGCAUGCCUUACACAUGCAAGUCGAACGGCAGCACGGGAGCAAUCCUGGUGGCGAGUGGCGAACGGGUGAGUAAUAUAUCGGAACGUGCCCAGUCGUGGGGGAUAACGCAGCGAAAGCUGUGCUAAUACCGCAUACGAUCUAUGGAUGAAAGCGGGGGACUCGCAAGAGCCUCGCGCGAUUGGAGCGGCCGAUAUCAGAUUAGCUAGUUGGCGGGGUAAAGGCCCACCAAGGCGACGAUCUGUAGCUGGUCUGAGAGGACGACCAGCCACACUGGAACUGAGACACGGUCCAGACUCCUACGGGAGGCAGCAGUGGGGAAUUUUGGACAAUGGGCGCAAGCCUGAUCCAGCAAUGCCGCGUGCAGGAUGAAGGCCUUCGGGUUGUAAACUGCUUUUGUACGGAACGAAACGGUCCUUUCUAAUACAAGGGGCUAAUGACGGUACCGUAAGAAUAAGCACCGGCUAACUACGUGCCAGCAGCCGCGGUAAUACGUAGGGUGCGAGCGUUAAUCGGAAUUACUGGGCGUAAAGCGUGCGCAGGCGGUUAUAUAAGACAGAUGUGAAAUCCCCGGGCUCAACCUGGGACCUGCAUUUGUGACUGUAUAGCUAGAGUACGGUAGAGGGGGGAUGGAAUUCCGCGUGUCGCAGUGAAAUGCGUAGAUAUGCGGAGGAACACCGAUGGCGAAAGGCAAUCCCCUGGGACCUGUACUGACGCUCAUGCACGAAAGCGUGGGGAGCAAACAGGAUUAGAUACCCUGGUAGUCCACGCCCUAAACGAUGUCAACUGGUUGUUGGGUCUUCACUGACUCAGUAACGAAGCUAACGCGUGAAGU